rnacentral:rRNA from 1 species
AGCUCCAGAAGCGUAUAUUAAUAUUGUCGCGGUUAAAAAGCUCGUAGUUGGAUUUCUGAUUAACCGUUCUGGCCCGCAGAUUUCGAUUUGUGAGUGCCGGAAUGUUGUUUUUCAUCCUUUCAGAGAGCUAGUGUCUACUCUUAACUGAGCAGGACGCUGUAAUCUGGAUCAUUUACUUUGAAAAAAUUAGAGUGUUCAAGGCAGGCUUUUGCUAUGAAUACAUGAGCAUGGAAUAAUAAUAUAGGACUUUGGUUCUAUUUUGUUGGUUUCUAGGACUGAAGUAAUGAUUGAUAGGGAUAGUUGGGGGUGCUAGUAUUGUUAGGCCAGAGGUGAAAUUCUUGGAUUCUAGCAAGACUAACUACUGCGAAAGCAUUCACCAAGGAUGUCUUUUUUAAUCAAG